rnacentral:rRNA from 1 species
CCUACGGGGGGCAGCAGUGGGGAAUAUUGCACAAUGGGGGAAACCCUGAUGCAGCGACGCCGCGUGAGUGAAGACGUAUUUCGGUAUGUCAAGCUCUAUCAGCAGGGAAGAAAGUGACGGUACCUGACUAAGAAGCCCCGGCUAACUACGUGCCAGCAGCCGCGGUAAUACGGAGGGGGCAAGCGAUCUCCGGAUUUACUGGGUGGAAAGGGAGCGUAGACGGCCAGACAAGUCAGAAGUGAAAGCCCAGGGCUCAACCCUGGGACUGCGUUUGAAACUGCCGGGCUGGAGUGCAGGAGAGGUAAGUGGAAGUCCGAGUGUAGCGGUGAAAUGUGUAGCUAUUAGGAGGAACAUCAGUGGCGAAGGCGGCUGACUGGACUGUAACUGACGUUGAGGCUCGAAAGCGUGGGUAGCAAACAGGAUUAGAGACCCGAGUAGUC